rnacentral:rRNA from 1 species
GUGCCAGCCGCCGCGGUAAUACCGGCAGCCCGAGUGAUGACCGAUCUUAUUGGGCCUAAAGCGUCCGUAGCUGGCUGCGCAAGUCCGUCGGGAAAUCCACUCGCCCAACGAGUGGGCGUCCGACGGAAACUGCACAGCUUGGGGCCGAGAGACGCGACGGGUACGUCCGGGGUAGGAGUGAAAUCCCGUAAUCCUGGACGGACCACCGAUGGCGAAAGCACUUCGAGAAAACGGAUCCGACAGUGAGGGACGAAAGCCAGGGUCUCCAACCGGAUUAGAAACCCCGGUAGUCC